AAUAUAUAUAUAUAUAUUAUACAUAUAUAUAAAAAAAUAAGACAUUUCCGGUUAAUUUCAUCGGACCUAAAACUAAUGACUGCUAAACAAUAUUAGUCUGUUUACAUUAUGCAUGCAUUUCUAUACACAAUUCCAGCAUACUUGAAACCUGCAUUUAUCCUUUCGUGUUCCGGUGGCGAACCUAUUGCCUUUUAAAAGAAUGCAUUGGCACUCCUCAAGCACUGAAAGUGUUAAAAUGGGAAUUGAAUUACAGUCGCAUCCUUUAUAUUUUAUUUUAUUCCUGGGCCAAGGUGUUCUAGCUGAUGACAAAAACAACCAAGGGAAAAUAUUUUGGGGGGGCCUAGUUUUUCAGUUUUCCGUUUUGAAUGAGUAUGUGAAAUAGAAAACAGUAUUACCAUAUAUAUCUUUGGAUCAAAUGGAGAGACUUUGAGGUCUUCACAACAAAAAUAAAUAGCUCAAGUACUAUGCCUAUGUAUAUUUUUUUUAUGUUUUUAGUUUUUAUAUAUAAUUUAAUCUGUACCAUAAAUUAUUAUUAGGUUCAAUGUAAAGUUGAAUUUUUUGUGUAUAUUGUUAGGCAAUUAGCUUAUUAAAUAUUUUAACAUGGCGUUCUUAGCGCAGUUGCUGGAAGUGUCUAUUGGUGGAACUGUAAAGGGUUAAUGCCCUAUUGGGGGGCGGCGGGGGGGCUGUUGCAGGAUUCUUCAGCCGUGGAUGGAAUAUUGUUUAAUGUACUGGAACUUUGAUGUGUUUGAUCUGUGGUAUGAAUGAUUUUUUUUUUCUGAGGGAAAAGUAGGGGGACACUUGUUUUUUUUUGCUUUUUUUUUUUGGUCCCACUCAACAAUGAAUUAAAAAAAACAAAUGCAAAUUUUGGACCAAAAUAUCAGACAGAGGAGGGAAACAAAAAAUUCUCCCACUUUGUUAUUUUAGCCUAAACUGUACAAUUUGUAUUUUUUUAAUUAUUUGUUUAUUGAUAAAUUACUAUAUACAUAUAGAUUUUUUUAAUUUUUUUCUUUUGCCCAUUCAAACCUGAUACCAUAUAUAUACCUGCAACAAUAAAACCUUUUCUGCUUUAUCCAAUUUCUCUGCACUUCUAGAUAUAUUUCUUGUUUACAGAUCUCGUAUGAGAAAUCACUUUUUAAUUUUUUAAGGCACAUAUUUUUUGCAUGUAUAAUAAAAAAUAUUUAUAGUUCCUACUUUUUCUUCUUAAUUUAGGGCAAAGAGGACAUCAGGAUAGCUUUCAGUACAUUAAUUUAAGACUAAUUGGGCUCUUUUUAACUUAACUAUUUGAACCAAUCAUUGAGAUUUUGCAUGGGAAAAAUGUUAUAUUAUUUGCAAGUAUAUCAGCUAUAUGCAAUAGCAGGGGUAAAAUACCGCGUACCCCAAGCAAAUUUGCAAAAGAAAGAACAAAAUGUUGUAGGCUAAAUACCUACGGCUUUCCCCUUGACCAGUAUUUGAACAACAUGGUACAGUAUACUGUUUUUAAUGCAAAAUUAAGAGCUGAUUUUAUUAAUCAUUCCAUAUUAUAAAUAAAAAUGUUUUAAACUUCCAUAAA
rnacentral:lncRNA from 1 species